CCCGCACAAGCGGUGGAGCAUGUGGUUUAAUUCGACGCAACGCGAAGAACCUUACCAGGGCUUGACACUCCCCUGACCGCGUAUGAAAGUACGUUUUUCACCCUCGGGUGACAGGGGAGACAGGUGGUGCAUGGUUGUCGUCAGCUCGUGUCGUGAGAUGUUGGGUUAAGUCCCGCAACGAGCGCAACCCCUACGUUUAGUUGCCAGCAUUAAGUUGGGCACUCUAAGGAGACUGCCGGUGUUAAACCGGAGGAAGGCGGGGAUGACGUCAAGUCCUCAUGGCCCUUAUGUCCAGGGCUACACACGUGCUACAAUGGCCGGUACAAAGGGUAGCAAGACCGCGAGGUGGAGCCAACCCCAAAAAGCCGGUCUCAGUUCGGAUUGGAGUCUGCAACUCGACUCCAUGAAGUUGGAAUCGCUAGUAAUCGUGGAUCAGCAUGCCACGGUGAAUACGUUCCCGGGCCUU
rnacentral:rRNA from 1 species